rnacentral:rRNA from 1 species
AACGGACGAGAAGCUUGCUUCUCUGAUGUUAGCGGCGGACGGGUGAGUAACACGUGGAUAACCUACCUAUAAGACUGGGAUAACUUCGGGAAACCGGAGCUAAUACCGGAUAAUAUUUUGAACCGCAUGGUUCAAAAGUGAAAGACGGUCUUGCUGUCACUUAUAGAUGGAUCCGCGCUGCAUUAGCUAGUUGGUAAGGUAACGGCUUACCAAGGCAACGAUGCAUAGCCGACCUGAGAGGGUGAUCGGCCACACUGGAACUGAGACACGGUCCAGACUCCUACGGGAGGCAGCAGUAGGGAAUCUUCCGCAAUGGGCGAAAGCCUGACGGAGCAACGCCGCGUGAGUGAUGAAGGUCUUCGGAUCGUAAAACUCUGUUAUUAGGGAAGAACAUAUGUGUAAGUAACUGUGCACAUCUUGACGGUACCUAAUCAGAAAGCCACGGCUAACUACGUGCCAGCAGCCGCGGUAAUACGUAGGUGGCAAGCGUUAUCCGGAAUUAUUGGGCGUAAAGCGCGCGUAGGCGGUUUUUUAAGUCUGAUGUGAAAGCCCACGGCUCAACCGUGGAGGGUCAUUGGAAACUGGAAAACUUGAGUGCAGAAGAGGAAAGUGGAAUUCCAUGUGUAGCGGUGAAAUGCGCAGAGAUAUGGAGGAACACCAGUGGCGAAGGCGACUUUCUGGUCUGUAACUGACGCUGAUGUGCGAAAGCGUGGGGAUCAAACAGGAUU